rnacentral:rRNA from 1 species
AUAAACCUACGGGGGGCAGCAGUGGGGAAUAUUGCACAAUGGGGGAAACCCUGAUGCAGCGACGCCGCGUGGGUGAAGAAGUACUUCGGUACGUAAAGCCCUAUCAGCAGGGAAGAAAAUGACGGUACCUGAUUAAGAAGCCCCGGCUAACUACGUGCCAGCAGCCGCGGUAAUACGUAGGGGGCAAGCGUUAUCCGGAUUCAUUGGGCGUAAAGCGCGCGUAGGCGGCCUGUUAGGUCGGGGGUCAAAUACCGGGGCUCAACCCCGGU